rnacentral:rRNA from 1 species
AGCGAACGCUGGCGGCAGGCCUAACACAUGCAAGUCGAACGAACCUUUCGGGGUUAGUGGCGGACGGGUGAGUAACACGUGGGAACGUGCCUUUAGGUUCGGAAUAACUCAGGGAAACUUGUGCUAAUACCGAAUGUGCCCUUCGGGGGAAAGAUUUAUCGCCUUUAGAGCGGCCCGCGUCUGAUUAGCUAGUUGGUUGAGGUAAUGGCUCACCAAGGCGACGAUCAGUAGCUGGUCUGAGAGGAUGAUCAGCCACAUUGGGACUGAGACACGGCCCAAACACAGAGGGGGGGCAGGAGGGAGGAGGCUGAAGCAAGGGAGGAGAGCCUGAGGGAGCCAUGGGGGGUGAUGGAGAAAUGUUGGAGGUUGGUAAAAUUCUUUACCCGGGGAGAAGAAGGAGGGGACCAGGAGAAGAACCCCGGGCAAACUCCGUGCCAGCGUCGGCGGGAGAAUAGGAAGAGCCUGCGUCCGACC